rnacentral:rRNA from 1 species
CGGCAGCGCGGACUUCGGUCUGGCGGCGAGUGGCGAACGGGUGAGUAAUAUAUCGGAACGUGCCCAGUAGCGGGGGAUAACUACUCGAAAGAGUAGCUAAUACCGCAUACGCCCUACGGGGGAAAGGGGGGGAUCGCAAGACCUCUCACUAUUGGAGCGGCCGAUAUCGGAUUAGCUAGUUGGUGGAGUAAAGGCCCACCAAGGCGACGAUCCGUAGCUGGUUUGAGAGGACGACCAGCCACACUGGGACUGAGACACGGCCCAGACUCCUACGGGAGGCAGCAGUGGGGAAUUUUGGACAAUGGGGGAAACCCUGAUCCAGCCAUUCCGCGUGUGCGAUGAAGGCCUUCGGGUUGUAAAGCACUUUUGGCAGGAAAGAAAUCGCGCAAAUUAAUACUUUGCGUGGAUGACGGUACCUGCAGAAUAAGCACCGGCUAACUACGUGCCAGCAGCCGCGGUAAUACGUAGGGUGCAAGCGUUAAUCGGAAUUACUGGGCGUAAAGCGUGCGC